rnacentral:rRNA from 1 species
AUACGAAGGGUGCAAGCGUUAAUCGGAAUUACUGGGCGUAAAGCGCGCGUAGGUGGUUUUGUAAGUUGGAGGUGAAAGCCCCGGGCUCAACCUGGGAAUUGCCUCCAAAACUGCAUGACUAGAGUACGGUAGAGGGUAGUGGAAUUUCCUGUGUAGCGGUGAAAUGCGUAGAUAUAGGAAGGAACACCAGUGGCGAAGGCGACUACCUGGACUGAUACUGACACUGAGGUGCGAAAGCGUGGGGAGCAAACAGGAUUAGAUCCCCUGGUAGUCCACGCCGUAAACGAUGUCAACUAGCCGUUGGGAUCCUUGAGAUCUUAGUGGCGCAGCUAACGCAUUAAGUUGACCGCCUGGGGAGUACGGCCACAAGGUUAAAACUCAAAUGAAUUGACGGGG